rnacentral:rRNA from 1 species
CACGUAGUUAGCCGGUGCUUCUUCUCCACGGUACCGUCACCCACCAAGGUGGGCUUCGUCCCGGGCGAAAGGAGUUUACAACCCGAAGGCCUUCCAUCCCCCACGCGGCGUCGCUGCAUCAGGCUUGCGCCCAUUGUGCAAUAUUCCCCACUGCUGCCUCCCGUAGGAGUCUGGGCCGUGUCUCAGUCCCAAUGUGGCCGUCCACCCUCUCAGGCCGGCUACCCGUCGCCGCCUUGGUAGGCCAUUACCCCACCAACAAGCUGAUAGGCCGCGGGCUCAUCCCACACCGCAAAAGCUUUCCACCAUGACCCCUACGCCAUGGUCGUAUGUGGUAUUAGACCCAGUUUCCCAGGCUUAUCCCACAGUGCGGGGCAGAUCACCCACGUGUUACUCACCCGUUCGCCACUCGAGUACCCACCACCAAGGUGGCAGGCCUUUCCGUUCGACUUGCAUGUGUUAAGCACGCCGCCAGCGUUCGUCCUGAGCCAGGAUCAAACUCU